rnacentral:rRNA from 1 species
ACGAACGCUGGCGGCACGCUUAACACAUGCAAGUCGAACGAGAGAAGAGAAGCUUGCUUUUCUGAUCUAGUGGCGGACGGGUGAGUAACACGUGAGCAAUCUGCCUUUCAGAGGGGGAUACCGAUUGGAAACGAUCGUUAAUACCGCAUAAUAUAAUUGAACCGCAUGAUUUGAUUAUCAAAGAUUUAUCGCUGAAAGAUGAGCUCGCGUCUGAUUAGCUAGUUGGUAAGGUAACGGCUUACCAAGGCGACGAUCAGUAGCCGGACUGAGAGGUUGAUCGGCCACAUUGGGACUGAGACACGGCCCAGACUCCUACGGGAGGCAGCAGUGGGGAAUAUUGCACAAUGGAGGAAACUCUGAUGCAGCGAUGCCGCGUGAGGGAAGAAGGUUUUAGGAUUGUAAACCUCUGUCUUCAGGGACGAAAAAUGACGGUACCUGAGGAGGAAGCUCCGGCUAACUACGUGCCAGCAGCCGCGGUAAUACGUAGGGAGCGAGCGUUGUCCGGAAUUACUGGGUGUAAAGGGAGCGUAGGCGGGAUCGCAAGUCAGAUGUGAAAACUAUGGGCUUAACCCAUAAACUGCAUUUGAAACUGUGGUUCUUGAGUGAAGUAGAGGUAAGCGGAAUUCCUAGUGUAGCGGUGAAAUGCGUAGAUAUUAGGAGGAACAUCAGUGGCGAAGGCGGCUUACUGGGCUUUAACUGACGCUGAGGCUCGAAAGCGUGGGGAGCAAACAGGAUUAGAUACCCUGGUAGUCCACGCCGUAAACGAUGAUUACUAGGUGUGGGGGGACUGACCCCUUCCGUGCCGCAGCAAACGCAAUAAGUAAUCCACCUGGGGGGUACGACCGCAAGGUUGAAACUCAAAGGAAUUGACGGGGGCCCGCACAAGCAGUGGAGUAUGUGGAUUAAUUCGAAGCAACGCGAAGAACCUUACCAGGUCUUGACAUCGUAUGCAUAGCUCAGAGAUGAGUGAAAUCUCUUCGGAGACAUAUAGACAGGUGGUGCAUGGUUGUCGUCAGCUCGUGUCGUGAGAUGUUGGGUUAAGUCCCGCAACGAGCGCAACCCUUACUGUUAGUUGCUACGCAAGAGCACUCUAGCAGGACUGCCGUUGACAAAACGGAGGAAGGUGGGGAUGACGUCAAAUCAUCAUGCCCCUUAUGACCUGGGCCUCACACGUACUACAAUGGCUGUCAACAGAGGGAAGCAAAGCCGCGAGGUGGAGCAAACCCCUAAAAGCAGUCUUAGUUCGGAUUGUAGGCUGCAACCCGCCUACAUGAAGUCGGAAUUGCUAGUAAUCGCAGAUCAGCAUGCUGCGGUGAAUACGUUCCCGGGCCUUGUACACACCGCCCGUCACGCCAUGGGAGUCGGUAACACCCGAAGCCUGUAGUCUAACCGCAAGGAGGACGCAGUCGAAGGUGGGAUUGAUGACUGGGGUG